UUGAAUUUUUAAAAAUACUUUGUUGCGUUUCUAAAUUUUCAAUCAGUAGAAUAAAUUGUUAUUUUUGUUUGUUUCUUUUAAGCAAUAAAAUAAGAAGAAGAAGGGGAAAAAAAGAUGUUUUGUACGUACUUUUGUUUCUCAGACGUGCAAAGUCCGUGUAACAUAGCAGCUGUCCAUGUCUCUAGUGCAUUUGCGACAAACUCGUAUAGUCAUUCAUCUUGCAGGAGACACUUUUAACUUUCCUGCUAUUUCAUCCGAAACAAAAUACCCCAAAAAUUUCACGUAUAAUAUGUUUGAAGGAAGAAGCAGAUUGUGGGGUCAUUAGCGCCAUCAGCUACAGUUCUCUUUAUCGCUUGCCACAGACAUGCAACGUGGGAAUAAUACAACAUCCAUUGACUCCCUGCGGAUAAUAAUCGAUAUCGCCUAGCUUACACCUUUGAAGGAAGUUCAAAUUACUGAUAUCAAUAGCGUAUAUCUUCAAUAGUAUUCGCGUUUAAUCAGAUCAAACUACAUCUUAAAUAUUGUUUCCUCCAGCGAAUCUCGAGUGAAAUGUUACAAAAUAGAUUUUGAUAAUAAAAAAAAAACAGAAGAAAGAAUAAAAAAAAAAACUUUUCCAGAAUC